rnacentral:rRNA from 1 species
UGCGUAGGUGGUAUGGCAAGUCAGAAGUGAAAACCCAGGGCUUAACUCUGGGACUGCUUUUGAAACUGUCAGACUGGAGUGCAGGAGAGGUAAGCGGAAUUCCUAGUGUAGCGGUGAAAUGCGUAGAUAUUAGGAGGAACAUCAGUGGCGAAGGCGGCUUACUGGACUGAAACUGACACUGAGGCACGAAAGCGUGGGGAGCAAGCA